rnacentral:rRNA from 1 species
UGGGGAAUUUUCCGCAAUGGGCGCAAGCCUGACGGAGCAAUACCGCGUGAGGGAGGAAGGCUUUUGGGUUGUAAACCUCUUUUCUCAAGGAAGAAGUCCUGACGGUACUUGAGGAAUCAGCAUCGGCUAACUCCGUGCCAGCAGCCGCGGUAAUACGGAGGAUGCAAGCGUUAUUCGGAAUUAUUGGGCGUAAAGCGUCCGCAGGUGGUGCCUCAAGUCUGCUGUCAAAGACCGAAGCUGAAGUUCGGGCAGGCAGUGGAAACUGAAGCUCUAGAGUACUGUAGGGGUAGAGGGAAUUUCCAGUGUAGCGGUGAAAUGCGUAGAGAUUGGAAAGAACACCAGUGGCGAAGUCGCUCUACUGGACCUGUACUGACACUAAGGGACGAAAGCUAGGGGAGCGAAAGGGAUUAGAUACCCCCGUAGUCC